rnacentral:lncRNA from 1 species
AGACUUGCAAAACAUAAUUGAAAAGGUAAUAACCUAAUAACUAUAGCAGCAUUUAAACAGGUUAGAAGCUACAUCCCAUAAGCUUCACCUUCAAAUCUAGCUCUUUAAUUCCAUACCCCAAAAUACAACCUCCAAAAAUUCCAAAUACAAUUGCAAAUAUGGUUAAGGGUUCUAGCAACCUGUGAAAAACAUUCCUUUCUUUCUUCUCUUUCGACUUUAAAGCUUCAUAUGUCUCCUUGUAAUGCUCAUACUCUGCCUCUAGAUACUGAACCUGAAAUCCCUACCCUUCCAUUCUUCCAUUCUCAUCUUGCAUUCUUUCAGCUUCUCUAGCUCAUACUCAUAGUUAGCCAAAGUUUCACUAGCUUAAACCAGGACAUUGUUCCUUUCUUCUCUCAAAUCAUCAAGAAGAUUCAAUACUCCUUUAACUCAGGCCAUCUGCUUCUCAUUGAAACCCAUCAAAGCAAUGUGUC